UCGACGAAGCAUUGGGAGCUUGCUCCUAAUUGACUUAGUGGCGGACUGGUGAGUAACGUAUGAGUAAUCUGCCCUAUGCAGGGGGACAACAGAUAGAAAUGUCUGCUAAUACCGCAUAAGACCACGAUACCGCAUGGUAUAGGGGUAAAAGAGAUAUGUAUCGGCAUAGGAUGAGCUUGUAUUCUAUUAGUUAGUUGGUGGGGUAACGGCCUACCAAGACGAUGAUAGAUAGCCGACCUGAGAGGGUGAUCGGCCACACUGGAACUGAGACACGGACCAGACUCCUACGGGAGGCAGCAGUGGGGAAUAUUGGGCAAUGGAGGCAACUCUGACCCAGCAACGCCGCGUGAAGGAAGAAGGCCUUAGGGUUGUAAACUUAUGUUGUAAAGGAAGAAAAGAAUGACGGUACUUUACAAGAAAGCCCCGGCUAACUAUGUGCCAGCAGCCGCGGUAAGACAUAGGGGGCAAGCGUUGUUCGGAAUUACUGGGCGUAAAGGGAGCGUAGGCGGGAGAUUAAGUUAAGAGUGAAAGCCUUGGGCUCAACCCAGGAAAUGCUCUUAAUACUGGUUUUCUAGAGUGUGGGAGAGGUAAGUGGAAUUCCUAGUGUAGCGGUAGAAUGCGUAGAGAUUAGGAGGAACAUCAGAGGCGAAGGCGGCUUACUGGACCAUAACUGACGCUGAGGCUCGAAAGCGUGGGGAGCAAACAGGAUUAGAUACCCUGGUAGUCCACGCCCUAAACGAUGGAUACUAGAUGUGGGAUGAAUAAAUUC
rnacentral:rRNA from 1 species